rnacentral:tRNA from 1 species
GGUGAGGUGGCUGAGAGGCUGAAAGCAGAGCUUUGCUAAAGCUCCGAGCUCGAAAAGCUCCGAGGGUUCGAAUCCCUCCCUCACCGCC